CAGCCGCCACGGGAAUACAGAGGGUGCGAGCGUUAAUCGGAUUUACUGGGCGUAAAGCGUGCGUAGGCGGCUUCUUAAGUCGGAUGUGAAAUCCCUGAGCUUAACUUAGGAAUUGCAUUCGAUACUGGGAAGCUAGAGUAUGGGAGAGGAUGGUAGAAUUCCAGGUGUAGCGGUGAAAUGCGUAGAGAUCUGGAGGAAUACCGAUGGCGAAGGCAGCCAUCUGGCCUAAUACUGACGCUGAGGUACGAAAGCAUGGGGAGCAAACAGGAUUAGAUACCCCGUAGUCCCUGUCUCUUAUACA
rnacentral:rRNA from 1 species